rnacentral:rRNA from 1 species
GACGAACGCUGGCGGCGUGCUUAACACAUGCAAGUCGAACGGAAAGGCCCUGCUUUUGUGGGGUGCUCGAGUGGCGAACGGGUGAGUAACACGUGAGUAACCUGCCCUUGACUUUGGGAUAACUUCAGGAAACUGGGGCUAAUACCGGAUAGGAGCUCCUGCUGCAUGGUGGGGGUUGGAAAGUUUCGGCGGUUGGGGAAGGACUCGCGGCUUAUCAGCUUGUUGGUGGGGUAGUGGCUUACCAAGGCUUUGACGGGUAGCCGGCCUGAGAGGGUGACCGGCCACAUUGGGACUGAGAUACGGCCCAGACUCCUACGGGAGGCAGCAGUGGGGAAUAUUGCACAAUGGGCGGAAGCCUGAUGCAGCAACGCCGCGUGCGGGAUGACAGCCUUCGGGUUGUAAACCGCUUUCGCCUGUGACGAAGCGUGAGUGACGGUAAUGGGUAAAGAAGCACCGGCUAACUACGUG